UGCUUUCAGACAGCCACACCCAAGGCCCUCUGUGAGACAACUGGGGCGCAGAGGGCUGGACUCUCGUCCAAGAUCUGAUGACUAGUAAGUGCAGGAGACUCCCCUCCAAGAACCUGGUCCUCUUGGAAGAAGGUAGGAGGUAAUCGGACCCCAUGUGCUGUACCUGGAGGGGCAUGGUGGGGGGCUACUGCCAUUGUUCAGGGAGAGUAGAGGAAGGGCUGAAUGGAGGUGGUGGGUGGAGUGCAAGAAAGGGUGGGGAUGGUCAGAGGAAGGAGGCCUCGGACUAGACGGCUGAUUGGCUGGGAGGCAGGGGGAAGCGGAACCUAGCACGACUUGAUUGGCUGGGAGGCAGGAGGAAGCGGAACCUACCGCGACUUGGGGGUGUGGUCAAUAUGGUGCCUUUACUGAAGAGGGUUGGUGCACAGGAGGCAAAGGAGGUCUUAUGGGAAAUCUGGCAGGUGGCAGCUGUAAAAUAAAGCUCAUGCAGUUGAUGGUAACACCCAGCAUGGCUGUAUGCUUUGAAAUCCCCCCCACAGUUUGAAAUCUCUGAGCAAUAUUUCUGCUCCAUCCCUCUGCAGCUGUGCUCAAGCCAAGGACCACAGGACUGUCCUUGCUCCUCCUUCUCUGCCAGCCCUCAGGGGGCCUGCGAUGUCCCUUUAGGUCCUCUGCAGACUUUGCACAAACAGGGAUUCCAGCACAACUAUAGAUGGGCUGAGAAAGCCAGCACCCAGGGGCUAUAAGGAGGAAGAACAGGAGUCUGAAGUGGUCUCUUGGCACACCGGCUAGGGGGCAGGGAGCAUAGGGCAUAGGAGGAGGGGUAGGGUAAGUGACUGCUCCUCCCAGCUUCACUCACCAGGAGCCCAGCCCAAGGCCAAGAGCUUCGUGCAGAUGGACACUCAAAAGAUCAGGAAUUUACCUGAUUCACCUUGCAAACACUAACUUCAUGCCAAUUUACAUGUUCCACGUUAAUUAGCUUUCCUAAUAACAAUGUGCCCUAGAGUGCUUGGAAGUUACUGUGGCUAGGGGCAAGAAUAUUUCCUUGUUCUGGGUAAGAGGUAUUCCCAAACACAUCACUUGGUGAACAAAGGGGUCUAGUCAUAAACUUCUCAACAGCAGCCGCAGAGGAGGAACCAGCAGCAAGGUAAUGCAAUUAUGCAAUGAAUUGUGAAUACAUCCCAUUCAAUCAGACUUCCUUAAAUGGCUCCUAGCCCAGGUUUUCCAAAGUUUGUAACCUACUCUUAAGAUCACCUUGACCUUUUCAAAUCUCAGGGGCAUAAUGAGUUUUUAUGGGUUGGACUGGAUUUCUUCAAAAAGUGCUGAAGUCCUAACCCCUAGUUCCUGUGAAAGUGACUUUAUUUUGAAACAGGAUCUUUGCAGAUGUUCAAGUUAAGAUGAGGUCUUUGGGGAGGGGGUUUAAUACAGUAUGACUGGUGUCCUUUCAAAGAGGGGAUCUUUGAACAGAGAGAAGCACAGAGGGAACUGAGGGGGUGGAAGGAGUGGGGGGAUGUCCAUUUACAAGUAAAGGAAAGAGACUCUACUUUUCUCCUGCCCCUCAGAAGGAACCAACCCUGCCAACACCUUGAUUUCAGGCUUCCAGCCUCUAGGAACCUGGAAAUCUAAACUCUUGUCUAAGCCACCCCAUUCGGGGUGAUUUCUUAUGGCAGCCCUAGCAAACUAAUACAUAGGCUAUCUCAACAUCUGAAUUCCUAGAAUCCACCAUUUCCAUAUCUGGUCUGUGGAUGGACUGGAAAAGAAUUUCCAGACUCAGAGUGAUGUAAUGAGAAAGAUGAUUUUAUUGAGGCAAAAAACUCUGCUAGGGCAGUGUGUCCACUUCCUGAUAAUCAGGAAGAGCCAGCCCCAAGUGUGUGAUCAUGUCUUUUUAUAGCCCAGGGACAAAGAAGAAAGGAGAGGUCUUACUAUACACCUGGUGAGGAGUUGGCCAAAUACCUUUCCUAAUAUAGGGCAAGGGGAAGUAGGCCAGGCUGCUGAUAGGGGAGCUCAAGGACUUUGUAACAGUUGCAAAGAGACUGGUGGGGGAUAAGGGUCUGAUGAUUUUUAUCCCUGCCAGAGGCUCUUUGAGUUUAUCUCGUUGGAAAGUUCUUGAAGUCCCACGGGCUGGAAAACUAUAAUGGCUGCAGGCUGAGGUCCAUCAAUUAUACAAGAGUGAAAGGAAGCUAUGGGUCAACUGGAGAUCAGAGUCAGGGCAAAAGAUCGUGCUUGUGCUGAACAAAGCUGGUGGGGGCAGGUGGGAGAAGAAGCAAAGUGGCAUUUUGGUCAUGCUUCCUGGUGGGAUGGCCCUGCAAGCAGCCAGGCUUGCUUCCUGGAGCCCAAUGUCCUGGGGUACGUCCUCCAAGGGGGUCCAGCUCACGCCAGUUUCCUGCUCUGUCUGAUCAUCAGAGUCACUGGAGUUCUUGUCCAAAAUGCAGUUCCUAAGGCGCCACCAGGCCCACACAAUCAGACCCCAGAGGGCCUGGCUGGAGAUGGGCCAGUAAAUAGACGUCUUCCAGGGAAGUGGCUACUUUGUGUCCUUUGUGCAGUGAACAGAGGCUUAACCUCUCUUCUGCCAAAGAAAAUGCUACUGCAAAGUUGCAAGCUCCCAGGAGAGCCUCCAUCUGAGGCAGGCUAUUUUCAGAAUUCUGUGCCUCUCUGUUAAUUUUGUUAAUCAUUAAUGUGGUAUUUUAUAAAACUGGCAUGGUUCCUUUUCUCUCCAGUUAUGAAACCUGGCUAUUUCCUAUGCAUCCUUUCAUUCUUUGCUGAGCCAAUUAACAUAACUUGUUCAAUACGAAUUUAGACGGCAGUGGAGUACAUCAAAUCGGUACACAUGCUGCGUUUUAAAAUAAAAUUUACUUCAGCUUAAAGUAAUGAGAAACAACAGCAUGAUACCCUGAGACUAGUCAUUUAGCCAGAAAUGAUGUUCUCAUGUCACAUAUUUGUUUUCUCACUUUCUAAAUAGAAGCCAUGGUAAUCAGAGCUGCCUUGCUCUGGGCAAGAUUAAGCUGACGUUAAUAAGCAGUACCUUCACUCCGACAUACUGUGUGGUAGCAAGGGGAGGGAAACUGUUAAUAACUCAACAGUAUUUUGGAUAAAACUAAAGAAAAUAUUGGGUAAAGAUGACAAAGACCAAAAUAGGAAACUGUGUACGGCCAGGUAAGGUGAAACAUGAUGCUACGAAAGGAGACAGGAAAAGGAGUCGAGAAUUCAGCUUUGCAUCCCAAUUCGGGCCAACAUGUGAACUACCCUUAUCACUAUUUUACCUUUUAGAAAAAAAUCUGAAUAGGAAGGGCUAAAUGAGAGAAUGUUUGUAAUAUUGGGUAGCAUAAGACUGUCUCAGAGCCAUCAGUAUUGCAUCUUAGCUUCUUUUGUAAUUAAAAAGAAUAGGCAGCUCUUACGAGGGUAGUACCUAUUUUGGGAAAUGACUGAGAGCCAUCCUUCAUUAACCUCACGUAGGGUGUUAGAGUCUUCCAGCAGGGUAGUGACAAUUGCUCACAGCCAGAUCUUCACUCCCUAGUGGUCGUUGGUGGACCACCAGCCCUGGCAUGACCUGGGAGCAGGAAGAGGCGCAGAAGCUCUGGUCCUCCCUGCAGAUGCACUGGACCAGAACCUGCAUUUUAACCAGGUUUCCAGGUGGCUUCUAUGCGUGUUAGAGCUGAGACACCUUGCCCUUGACCCCUGCCUGGGGGAAGGUUAAGGAGUGCUUUGUUGGCUUAUAGAGAAAUAGAAGUAUUCCUGGGAAUAUAAUAAAUAUGUAUCUAUGUAUAUAUAACAGCAUAACGUAAUACAGUAGGACACAGCAUAGCAUAACAUAGCACAACACAGCAAAACAUACAGAGUCCAUCAAUUUCUAAUUUGGUGACAUACUCAUCUUUUAAAAAGCAAAGGGACAGUUCUAAGAAGAUGGCAACACGAUGUUUAGGUCUUUCUGAAUCCCACGUGUAAACAGACAUCUGGAAGUCAAAACUGAAGUGGAUAGAAAACAUUUACAGCAAAGCUAGGGAACAAAUAUUCCAAGAGUCUCCAAAAUUCAGUCAAGGGGACAUGUUACCAAAGCCACAAGGUCUAGGCGGAAUCAGGAUCUGUGGGGUUGAAACAGAGGGAAGGAACUGAGUGGCCAAUGACCUCAGCAAAGAAGAAUUCACCAAAUAGCCGACGGGCCUUCGCUGGACAGCAUGGCAGGACAAUUUGAGAAAAAUAGGUUAAACGAGAAUCUAUCCGUAUAAAUGCUCAGGGCCCCUGGUGGGGACUGACUGGGAUGAGAAGCCUGGUCUCUAUAAACAUCUGAAGCUAAGCAGCCCAAGUUCCCUUUCAGAAUAGGGUCCCCCGCUGAGGAGAAACCUCUGAGCAGAAUCAAAACGAGCAGGAUAAAGACAUGGGGAUGAAGUGGAAGAUCAUUUUGAUAAAAAUAGGAGAGGGAAGCAAAGCCAGAAGAAUCUCAGAAAGCAACUCUUUCUCAUAUAUAUUUCACACUAUAUAUAAUAUAUAAAAUAUAUACAUAUGUUUCAUGCUGUAUGAUAACAAUUCUUAAAAUUCAGCAUAAGCAAAUUACCACAAAGAUGAGCAGCAUAAAAACAUAAGGUCAGAUUCUGCACAAAGUUACUAUAAAAAAAGAAGAAAUUAAGAAUAACAUCCUAAACUCAACACCUAUACUAAAGACAAAGCUAAAAAUACAUAGAUCAAAAAUGUAACAUGCCUUUUCAAAAUGAGCUCAGAGAUAUUAAGAAAAUGAUACAAGAUAUAAAUGAGAAAAACUCAGAGUGCAGUCACAUAAGAAAGAAUUAGCAAUAAAAAGGAAAAUAAUUUUAUUAUGAAGACUAAGAAAACAAGAGCAAACAACUACAACAGGCACUGCCUUUGGAAAAUGGGAAGUGGAAAAGACUUUAAAACAAAAAGAAAUGAAGGAGUUCCCAUCGUGGCUCAGCAGAAACGAAUCUAAGAACCAUGAGAUCGUGGGUUUGAUCCCUGGCCUCGCUCAGUGGGUUAAGGAUCUGGUGUUGCCAUGAGCUGUGGUGUAGGUGGCAGACUCGGCUUGGGUCUGGCGUUGCUGUGGCUGUAGUGUAGGCCGGCAGCUGUAGCUCCGAUUUGACCCCUAGCCUGGGAAC
rnacentral:lncRNA from 1 species